GACGAACGCUGGCGGCGUGCCUAAUACAUGCAAGUUGAGCGCUGAAGGUUGGUACUUGUACCAACUGGAUGAGCAGCUAACGGGUGAGUAACGCGUGGGGAAUCUGCCUUUGAGCGGGGGACAACUUUUGGAAACGAAUGCUAAUACCGCAUAAAAACUUUAAACACAAGUUUUAAGUUUGAAAGAUGCAAUUGCAUCACUCAAAGAUGAUCCCGCGUUGUAUUAGCUAGUUGGUGAGGUAAAGGCUCACCAAGGCGAUGAUACAUAGCCGACCUGAGAGGGUGAUCGGCCACAGUGGGACUGAGACACGGCCCAAACUCCUACGGGAGGCAGCAGUAGGGAAUCUUCGGCAAUGGACGAAAGUCUGACCGAGCAACGCCGCGUGAGUGAAGAAGGUUGUCGGAUCGUAAAACUCUGUUGGUAGAGAAGAACGUUGGUGAGAGUGGAAAGCUCAUCAAGUGACGGUAACUACCCAGAAAGGGACGGCUAACUACGUG
rnacentral:rRNA from 1 species